GCCCGGAAGAGAGAAAUGCGAGGGUUGGUCGGCAAGAGCUGACACAACAACGCAAAACUGAUUAUGAGACGGACGGAGUUCGGCGCUAGUUGCGCCGGACAGAGUCCGUAAUAGUUCAGAAGAUUCCGGACGAACUCCGGAAUCGGGAGCCGAAGACCCGCGCGAAGGUCCUCGACAUACAGCGCCAGCUGGCCGGGCGGAGGGCUGUUAACCCGACCGCCGGCCCCUGGGGUGGACAGUUGAAACUGCUCCGGGAUGCAAUACUGCUCCCGAAGCCGAUCAACAUUCGGCCCCGAAAGCGAGGAAACCUCAACUUUCGGAGUCGACCGGGAGUCGUCAGUCGGAUUUUCCGACC
rnacentral:lncRNA from 1 species